CGGCGGUGGGGGAGGGGGAAGGGGGAGGGACAAGCAUGGCUCGGGUGAAGUUUUAAACUCUGUUCUUCUCUCUUGCCUUUCUUUGGGGACAUUCUCCCCUUUGGGAUCUGUCCUGGACUUCGCAGGCUGCGAGAACUUGUUGACAAGUGAAAGCUCGGUAGAGCCCCGGCUUGGUUUGUGGUCUGCUUAUUUUUUGCAAAGUGACUGUUCCUGUUUGCGCUGGUCCUUAUCGGUGCCCCUUUGGGGGACUUCGGCACUGAUCAGCGCGCUGACAGCCGCCGUCCGGGCUGCGGGAAAAUGGGGCGCGCCCUCCGGGGGGCGAGUGGCUGUGUCCUUGCUAAUUUCCUCCGUAACCUUUAAACUCUCGCUGGAAGCUACCGCCGCGGCUGGUCACGUGAGGAGAGCCCUGGGCUGCUGGGGAAAAAUUUCCUCGGCUGGGAGCCGGGACCGGGCCGGCGGCCGGCGAGGGACUGCCCCGCGCCCGAGACUGGGAACCUGGGAGGGCAGGGCCGGAGCGCUGGGCCCCGGGGCGCGGCCCAGCUGGGACACCCGCGAAGACGGCGGCGGUGAAGAGGUCGGCUCCGCUGCCGGGGAGCUGGGGAUUAUGCAAAUGGGGAAAGAAAACCUCCGCCCUCGCCCUUCUGCCAAGUCAAGUCUGGGAAUUUGUAGGUAUUGUGGGCAUGUGAUGGAAGGCAGUGGCAAAUAUGGCUUGAUCUUCUGAAAAUGCAUUUGGGAAGCAGAGCCAGCACCAAAGUGAGAUGAGUGAGAUACUUUUCAGAGGCAAAAUGUAAAGGGUACCAAUAAACGUAAUCAAGAUAAAGAUUUAAUACAAUUUUUUAAAAAUAAAAAUGUGAGAAUCCAGAAUGGACACAAUAUCCACAUUUUAAAUAAUUUUAAAUAUUGCACUAAAAUAUUUAUACUACUGAGUUUAUUGGCACCUGUUAAAUUUUGUACCUGAGCCGAGUGCGUCACUCAUCUCACCCUAGUCCUGAUCCUGUUGGGAAGUCUGGAAAGUCAAGGAUUUCAUGGAGUUAGGGAUCCUUGACUAAUUGGUGCUUCAUAUGUUCUCAUUACUUGCUUUGGGUAAGUCUUGUACAGGCAGGAGCCACCAUGCCCAGCCCCCAAAUAUAUUAAAUAGGGUCUGUUACCAUCUCAGUGACUGUCUUAAAACAACCUACAAACUUCCAGCACCAUUUCCUAGCAUGCUGGCUCAGCAGACUGUUACUCCGUGUAAAUCACCAGACUGCAAUUCUCAAGGGCGACCAAUGCUUGUCUCCUUUCCAUUACAGCAACUCUUUUGGAGCAAGGGUAAUAAAAGACUUUGUCAAACAAAA
rnacentral:lncRNA from 1 species